rnacentral:rRNA from 1 species
UACGUGGGGGGCAAGCGUUGUUCGGAAUUACUGGGCGUAAAGGGCUCGUAGGCGGCCAACUAAGUCGGACGUGAAAUCCCCAGGCUCAACCUGGGAACUGCGUCCGAUACUGGAUGGCUUGAAUCCGGGAGAGGGAUGCAGAAUUCCAGGUGUAGCGGUGAAAUGCGUAGAUAUCUGGAGGGACACCGGUGGCGAAGGCGGAUCUCUGGGCCUUACCUGACGCUCAGGCGCGAAAGCUAGGGGAGCGAACAGG